rnacentral:lncRNA from 1 species
ACACUUUAAUCGUAAACUCAGUGUAUUCAACAGGCAACUUCUUAUUAGAUAUUAAAUUAACACAAAUAUAGGAAUGAGUAGACCCGAGAUCAGUUAAUGCAAUAACAAUAGUAUCAUAGAGGGAAAAUGUACCAGUAAUGACAUCGAGAGAUGAUGCAUCCUCUCGGGCACGUAUGGCAUAAGCUCUAGCAGGCGCUCUAGCUUCUGAUCUCGCCGCUGAAUCUUUCAUUAUAGUUUUACUGCUAGCUCCACUUCCAGUAUUUCUCGGUGGUCUACCUCUGCUAGCGAUAGUACUCUGUCUAGC